GACGAACGCUGGCGGCGUGCCUAAUACAUGCAAGUUGAGCGCUGAAGGUUGGUACUUGUACCGACUGGAUGAGCAGCGAACGGGUGAGUAACGCGUGGGGAAUCUGCCUUUGAGCGGGGGACAACAUUUGGAAACGAAUGCUAGUACCGCAUAAAAACUUUAAACACAAGUUUUAAGUUUGAAAGAUGCAAUUGCAUCACUCAAAGAUGAUCCCGCGUUGUAUUAGCUAGUUGGUGAGGUAAAGGCUCACCAAGGCGAUGAUACAUAGCCGACCUGAGAGGGUGAUCGGCCACAUUGGGACUGAGACACGGCCCAAACUCCUACGGGAGGCAGCAGUAGGGAAUCUUCGGCAAUGGACGAAAGUCUGACCGAGCAACGCCGCGUGAGUGAAGAAGGUUUUCGGAUCGUAAAACUCUGUUGGUAGAGAAGAACGUUGGUGAGAGUGGAAAGCUCAUCAAGUGACGGUAACUACCCAGAAAGGGACGGCUAACUACGUG
rnacentral:rRNA from 1 species